AAAUUCUCCUUCGUUUCGACACCAAAUCGAUCGAGUAAGGCAUCAGAGGUCCAGCCGACUAGCAGGAGAAACCUUCGGAGGGUCGAAGUAGUUCGAACCAGCUGCCGUAGAAGAACGAAGGAAACCAUUCGGGCCAUCAGCUUAGUUCCCGACCCACCACUAAAGUGUAGGAGUUCGUUGUAACUUCUUUGUAAUCUUGUAAAUAUGCUCUGAUAUCUCGUUGAACUUGAGAACC